rnacentral:rRNA from 1 species
CCCUUAGAUGUUCUGGGCAGCACGCGCGCUACAAUGGUCUUCGCAAACGGAUGCAUUCUCGAAGGAGAAUGCCAAUCUUGGAAUCUAUGCCUUGGUCGGGACAGUUGCUUGCAAUUUUUCGACUCGAACCAGGAAUUCCUUGUAAUCGUGAUUCAUCACAUCACGAUGAAUACGUCCCUUCCCUUUGUACACACCGCCCGUCGCUCCUACCGAUCGAAGAGUUAGGUGAAUUGUUUUGAUCGAUAAGAUUUGACUAUGGUCAACUCUCGUUGUGAAAUUCUGUGAAUCUGACUGUUUAGAGGAAGGAAAAGUCGUAACA